GCGAGGCUGAGGCGGCCGCGGCGGCCAGAGCUCAGGGAGCGGACGUGUGGUUCCUGAUCCUUGGCACCAAAGACAGCUAGGCCUCGUGCACAGCUCUCUGAACAACAGGGGCCCAGAGCUGAUGGCAGACAAUGUCAGCCACUAACAACAUAGCCCAGGCCCGGAAGCUGGUGGAGCAGCUCCGCAUCGAAGCUGGCAUCGAGCGCAUCAAGGUGUCCAAAGCCUCGUCAGAACUCAUGAGCUACUGCGAGCAGCACGCCCGGAAUGACCCCCUCCUGGUCGGAGUCCCCGCCUCCGAGAAUCCCUUUAAGGACAAGAAGCCCUGUAUUAUUCUGUAGCCUUGUUUUCUGGUGUGUCCCUCCCUCUGUCUCUCUCAGCUAGGGCCUCAUUCACUACACAGUCAAGCAAAACAUUUCAAGUCCCAAAACUUCCAGUACCCAAAGAAAUGCGAACAGCCCCCACGGCGGAUGGGGUAAAAUGUGUCUCCCGGCCUUAGGUGGAUUCUCGAGCCCAGCAGCGCUGCCCUCCCAGGCCCGGCCGGAAGACGCUGGGGGUGCCGCUGCCGCUUCCCAUCAGGAACAGCAGAAAUGCCCAAGUGAUGUGCUAACAAUUUUCUGAAACUUGGUUGCCGUUCGGGUUGCGGUCCAGAGCGGCGCCGGGCUGGGAGAAGGGAAGGAGGUGGGUGACCUGGCCACUGUCCCGUGCGCCCUGGCGGGUGGGGAUUCUCGCACAAUUGGCUGUUUGUGCAAAGACUGGUGCCAGGCCGACGCUGCAGUGCGUUUACUGUUUCUUCUGUGCUCAGCAGACUAAAAGUGGGUAGUGGGGGAAGGGCACAGCGGCGUGUUUUGGAAACAGGUCCCCUCUCCGUUUAAACAAUUGUUGCUCCACACCCCGGAGCCCCGAGCUCAGCGGCUGAGCCUGCAGCCACACAUUGUGUAGAAUGCACCCGCGGAUUUUAGAGGCCAGGAGGGAGGCUUUGUCUGUGGAGCGUGCCCUGCGUGGCCAAGUGUCGCCCUGCUGUGUGGCACUUGUGUGGCGUUUGUGUGGCACACAUCACCCGACAGCCCCGCUGCGGCCCCCCGCCCUUUCCUGGGACCCCACCCCACAGGGAAGCGGAUUUCCAGCAACCUGCCCUGGUCACUGGAACGGUCAGCUGUGUUCUGUUUUGUUUUGAGCACGAAACGGCCAUUUGAGCAGUUAGAAGCUGUGGUCAUAUUUGGCUUUGCCGGGUUGUCGUGUUGUGUUUUGUUUUUUUCCACUUUUUGCGCGUCGCCAUGGCCAUUUUGCAAACAGGAGUGCAGCCCGGGGAGGCCCUGCCUGACAGGUCAAAAGGCGUGAAGCUCCAGAAAGCAGCUGCAGGGCCUCGGGGUGAGAUGCGUAACCCAGACAGCUCCUGGCUCUUCCCUCCCGUGGUUUUUCCUUGAUCACUCGGCUCCUGUGACAGUUGACCUGGACAGUUAAGGGAGCAGGAGGCAGAGGGAGGACCCCGUGCACACCUGUCCCCCACCUGCCCCUGUACCCUUGCACCCGUGUGCCCUGCGCCAAGAGGGUCCUCACCUUACAGGCCAGGAGCUGGGUCCUCGUGCCAACCUCAAGGCUCCUGCUCCCCCCACCGAGCCCCUGCAAGUGCCAAGGCCCAGAUCCCACCAGCAUUAAGGUUUGGGGAUGAGAGGGAUGUGUCCCUGUGCCGGCGGGUGACGUCCCCAUGCGGGCUGGCUGCAGGGCCCAGCCUUGCUCCUCGGCUCCCAGCUCUCUCCGGCCGGUCCGGGAGCACCGGGGGCUUUGGGGAGCCCAGUUUCCCCAAACCUGCCGUUGGACGGGGAAGCUGCGAGGGCCCGAUGCCCUGGCCACUCUCACUGGGCGGGGAGUCAGCCUCUUGCUGUCCCCAGUAGAGCAGCAAGCCGGAACAAAACCCGUUCGCUCAGCGGGGGGCCGGGGCGCCGGCGGAAUCCACCCCGAGACUCAACACUCGAGGGGCAGUUGGCAGAGCAAGCCCUGUCCGGCCACUUCUGUGAAAGAAGCCUUAAUCCCCGGAGCCCGCCUUCCCUCGCAUCCCCACCAUCCCGGGCUGGUCCUGGGUCACGGGUCCCCAGCGAGGCCCUGGUUUCAGUCCGACCCCUGCCCGCCAGCUGUGCCGCGUCCAGCCCCACCCAGUGUCCCUACCGGGUGGCCCCAAAACCUAGCUCAGGGCUCAGCCGGCAGCACCCCAGCCCUGAAUGAACUCGAACUCGAGUCAGAGCCCCGGGGCCAAGCAGUGUGGGUAAACCAGGCCCAGAGAGGGUGAGGAGGCACGUGGCCACCCCUGCCCAGCUGCCUCCCCAGGGGCCCCAGCCUCGACCCCGGGGGUGGCCGUCAGCAGAGGCCCACCUUGGGUGUCUUUCUAGCUGAGGAAAAGACCCCUCCUUUCUUCCUUCUAGAGUAAAUCCCAGUGUCCGUAGUGUAGACCCCCGAGCGCCGUGCACACGCGACAGCGUUUCCUGCCUGUGCUUCCCCGCGAGUGUCCCGCAUGAAACAUGGUGUGCGCGGUGCCUUCGGGAGCUAGCGGAGGUGGCAAGGGGCCUGGGGGGACCAGUGUCUCUAGGCCACAUCACGGGGGGGAAAUUAAGGGCACACCCCCCAAAAAACAGGGCUGGGAGACACAGGGUCCCCUUCUCUCCUACAGCCUGCCUGGGUGUCCCUCCCCCACUCCAGGAAGGAGCUAGAAUGUGCACCCCUCCCCACAGGUGACUCCCAGGCCAAGGAUUGAGUGACUGGGGGGUGACCUCUGGCCCCGGGGAUGUGAACCGCUGGCGGCAGAAGGUGCUGCCCUUCUUCCUGUGACUCUAGCCCACGUGUCCCCACCGCAUCCCCACCGUGUCCCUGCGUCCCCACCAUGUACCCAGCCGCGUCCUUCCGGGCGCCGGGCCUCCAGGCAGCUCGUCCAUCUCUGCGCCGCCCGGCCCCUCUCAGCUCUGGGGGCAGGAAAGGCCGUCAGCCCGCCCCGAGGGCGAGUGACCAGGGCCACUUUCCGGGCCAAAAUGAGGCCACCAACGGUCACUCGUCCGUCAAAAACACUUACAAAAAGCCAGCCUGCCACGGAGUCUCCGGGAAAGAAGCCAUAUGUCGGACACUCCACCCUCCUCCUUCUCUGUCCGUGGAAACCAUUGCCAAACAUUGCAAAGACCGGUUCCGGUUCGCAGAAGCCAUCUGUGGUUCUAGCAGGUUCUAUCCCACCUCCAUUUGGAUGUUCCGUGGCUUUUAUUUCUGAUUUAAAAAAAAAAAAAAAAAAUGACAACAAAAACAAUUCCAGGUGUGCCACACCCACUUUCUUGCAGUGUUUUAAUAUUGUGUGGAAUUGUUAAUACAGAGUGAACUAAUCCCCAGUACAAAGACUCCCUGGUCCUUGUCUCUGUGCCCACCGCCCGGGGCGGCGGGGGGGGUGGGAUUGGCGCCAGUGGUGAGGGGCGGCCCCACAGAGCAGCCCUCAGCGGGGGCGUUCCAGUUUGUAGGUGGAAAACUUGGGGAGGGGCACCUGGGGGCCUCAUUCGGUGAAGCAUCUGCCUUCGGCUCAGGUCAUGAUCCCGGGGUCCUGGGAUCGCAUCCUGCGUGGGGCUCCCUGCUCAGUGGGGAAUCUGCUUCUCCCUCUGCUCUGUGCCCCUACUCAUGCUCUCUCUCUCUCAAUAAAAUUUUUAAAA
rnacentral:lncRNA from 1 species